UCGUAUAUAUGACGUUAUGCCAGCGCGCCAGCCGUACGCGUUACACGAGCAAAGACUAUGCAGCUUGUAGAUAGCUGCGAGUGGUGAAAUGAAACUAUAUACAACCAUUGAGUACGUGAGGUAGAGUUUAUUAUUAUCCAGAAAAGAGAAAAUCGUUUGACCAGAGUUCACUUAGCAUAUGUCGUAUAAAUAUUAGAUGUGUAAUUAAUUUCAUAGGAUGGAAUAAUGCUAAGGAAUGCAACGUUGUGUACUGACAUACGCCAGCCGGUAAAACGUAACCUGGGAGUUCUGCCAUUAUACAUUGAUGCCUUAUACCUACUACGCCACUUCCGCCAACUCGCUGGUGAUCAAAAUGGACGCCUUUGUGUCUAUUUUCUUGGUAUUCAUACCCCGUAAAUAAAAUAAUCCUUAGAACUAAUCACCCCCGCAUUCUAAAUAAGUACAAGGUGUCUCGUGAAAUGAGAGUGACAAGUGCAUGGUGUUGAUUGCCGUCUGUUUUGUUACGAUAUGACUUGAGGCCUAAGAGAAUCAUGUAGGCCACAGCCGCGGAUGACAAUUGAGUGGAUAUUUCGCUGCGAGAAAAAGUCUUUUCGUUCAACUAACCGAGACACCGAUGGACGUGAAAGAUCGGCAACCUGUAAUAUCAUCACGCCGUAUUAUUUUCGACUAAAGAAAAUACACCAGCAUCCCGCCAAAACAGUAUUGGCCACCGCGCAUUCCAGCGUAUAAAUAAUCAGCGGUAUUGCUUGAUUUUUACAUUAUUUCAAGAUCACAACCUCGGCGCCUCCCUGAAAAUUUGCGACAACGGUAGUAACGGGCCGUACUUCAAACAUGAAUCGACUGUUGCAGGACCCUAGAGCGUCAUCUAAAUUUGGCUGACUUCUUAGUGACAGCAACAAUGGGAACUUAGAGAGACUUUGUUGGGUUCCCAAGCUUGGUAGAAAGUUUGAAGACUCGAAGAUAUUAUUGAUUGAUAGUGCGCUUGUAUGUAGCGCUCCGUCGAAAGUUGGUAUUCCGCUGCUGCAUCUACAAUAUCGAAACGUCAGAGACGCGGAUAUAGCAGAGCCGAGAAUCGUUUAGUUUUAACGCAAUCCAUCUCUGAGGAAGAGGAAAAGGCCAGCUUGAAUUACGACUGCAACUAUAACCUGUUCCUAGCUAAAAGACUAAUAGCUGACAUGAGG